UGGAGCAAGAAGAUCUCAUGCUGUGACUCUCUGGAGGGAAGCGCUUUCUGUUGUCUGAAAGAAAACAAAUCGCUUCUCUUCAGAGUGUUUCGGUUUGAGAAAAGCAACGUGGAAGUUG
rnacentral:miRNA from 1 species